rnacentral:rRNA from 1 species
AUUGAACGCUGGCGGCAGGCCUCACCCAUGCCAGUCGAGCGGAGCGGCUGACGGGUGAGUAAUGCCUAGGAAUCUGCCUGGUAGUGGGGUAUAACGUCCGGAAACGGGCGCUAAUACCGCAUACUCUCAGAUGAGCCUAGGUCGGAUUAGCUAGUUGGUGGGGUAAAGGCCUACCUAGGCGACGAUCCGUAACUGGUCUGAGAGGAUGAUCAGUCCACCGGGAACUGAGACACGGUCCAGACGCCUACGGGAGGCAGCAGUGGGGAAGUGUGGACAAAUGGCGAAAGCCUGAUCCAGCCAGGCCUCGUGGGGGAAGAAGGUCUUCGGGUUGUAAAGCUCUGUUAAUCGGGAUGCGGUACCGGAAUAGAAAGCCACGGCUAACUACGUGCCAGCAGCCGCGGUAAUAC